rnacentral:siRNA from 1 species
AUGGGUAUUUGCUAAGAUCAUGGA